UGACAAACUUCAAUCUAUAACAUUUCAGGUUCUUGCAAACAGUUUGCGCUAUUACUUAAGGAGACCAACAACAGAAGAGUCAAGUUUUUAAUACAGUGCAGAAUGAGAGAAAAUAACCAGUUGGUUUAACCAUGCAAUUUUUAACUGUCGCAGCAAAAGCAUGCUGAAACAUGCAUGAAAUCUGGAAAUAUAGUUCUCAUUACUGCGUUAACAUUGUAAAAUGCUACCAUCUAUACCUCAUCUGUCGCAGCGAAAGCAUGCUGAAACAUGCAUGAAAUCUGGAAAUAUAGUUCUCAUUACUGCGUUAACAUUGUAAAAUGCUACCAUCUAUACCUCAACUUAAUUUGAAUAUACCUCUCAACAAGUAGAAAGAGCCAUUUUCUUCAUCAGUUAUUGCUUAUCACUGCCCAAAUUUGAUUUUACAACUUUAUUUGAUAUCCGUUGAAAUAAACCUAGUGUAAUCUCACAUUGUGGGGUCUUGGCAGAGGCAAAAUCAAGAUUUGAAUUUUAUAGGUUCAGGAUUAUAGCCGUUUAUGUUACUAGGUUCUAACAUUACGGGGUUUGUACAAAAGUUAUUGGGUUCGGCCGAACAUGCAAGAUCUAUGCUAGCUCCGCCCCUGAUUUUUUGGAGGAUAGCGUGUAUGCAAACCUUUUCCCUACCUUGUGUAGGUAGAGAAAGAUUAUUUCGGAUGGACUUUCAGCCAAGUAUAUACUUAAAAUUCUGUGAUCCAAUUAAUUAUCGUGCUACGUCGGAUAAGUACACUAAAGGGAUAAAAGACUCCUUAAUUACCAAGAAAGUUUCUAUUUUCCAGAGAUAAAUUUAUUGGUAAUAAUAUCAAAUUAUGAAAAUGGAAAGGGGAUAAUGAAUUUUGAGGAGUUGGGAGGAUAAGGAAGGCAGAGUAAGCACAGAAAAAUGGACCACAUAUUAUCUAUGGAAAAAGGAUAAGUGGAUCAGUGCAAAUUGCACAGACAGCAGCCCUCAUAAUUUAAGCAGAACGGAUAUUACAAGAGGGGUUAGCUUUGAUAGUAUGCAAUCCCCACUCCCAACCGAGAGGUUAUGAGUUCGAGUCUUCCCAAGAGCAAGGUGGUAAGUCCUUGGAGGGAAGUAUGCCGGGGGUCUAUUUGAAAACAGCCUCUCUAUCCAAGGGAAGGGGUAAGGUAUGCGUACACACUACCCUCCCAGAACCCACUAAAUGGAAAUAUACUGGGUUGUUGUUGUUGUUGGAUAUUCUGCUUCUCCUACCAUAUCCCAAAAUUCGUUUAUCCAUAUUUUAUUUUUGUUGACGAUAUCAAAUGGUCGUUGGAGGAACUAAUUAAUAAUUGUAAGCCAAGGCACCAAUAUUUCAAUUAUUGUCUUGUUUAUAUUUGAAAUAUUAUAACGGUUUUGUUUAUUUUCUUUCAUAUACCGA
rnacentral:lncRNA from 1 species